rnacentral:tRNA from 1 species
GCCUAGCUGGCUUAGUCAGUGGAGCGUGCGACUCUUGAUCUUAGGGUUGUGGAUUCAAGUCCCAUGGUGGGUG